CCGAGCAACGCCGCGUGAGUGAAGAAGGUUUUCGGAUCGUAAAGCUCUGUUGUAAGUCAAGAACGUGUGUGAGAGUGGAAAGUUCACACAGUGACGGUAGCUUACCAGAAAGGGACGGCUAACUACGUGCCAGCAGCCGCGGUAAUACGUAGGUCCCGAGCGUUGUCCGGAUUUAUUGGGCGUAAAGGGAGCGCAGGCGGUCAGGAAAGUCUGGAGUAAAAGGCUAUGGCUCAACCAUAGUGUGCUCUGGAAACUGUCUGACUUGAGUGCAGAAGGGGAGAGUGGAAUUCCAUGUGUAGCGGUGAAAUGCGUAGAUAUAUGGAGGAACACCAGUGGCGAAAGCGGCUCUCUGGUCUGUCACUGACGCUGAGGCUCGAAAGCGUGGGUAGCGAACAGGAUUAGAUACCCUGGUAGUCCACGCCGUAAACGAUGAGUGCUAGGUGUUAGGCCCUUUCCGGGGCUUAGUGCCGGAGCUAACGCAAUAAGCACUCCCGCCUGGGGAGUACGACCGCAAGGUUGAAACUCAAAGGAAUUGACGGGGGCCCGCACAAGCGGUGGAGCAUGUGGUUUAAUUCGAA
rnacentral:rRNA from 1 species